UCUACAUUGAAGAUGUUUUUUCAUCACCUCCUGUUAAAUGUAUAAAAUCAUUGUAUAUAGUUCAAUGAAAAGCGCAAGAAACGGACCCCUGCCAGAGACCCGCAGAGACGGAAACGGAGCCAUUCCUGAAGUAAAAAAAACGGGUUGUUACACGUUACGCAACUGGCAAACGAUGACCACGGAUAUAGUUUUCAGUUAAAUAGAGCAGGCAAUUGUGUUUUGAAAUAGCGAUUACUUCCACCACCGGUAAACAACGAUGUUUCAUGAUCUAUGUCACGGGCUACAUCAAAGUAGCAGUAGCACAGGAAGUCACCGAUCGAAGAAUAUCCAGUCAAAUCGAAAGCUAGCUGACCUACCGGGCGCUAAAAUGGGUAAGGUCAUGGCUUAUUUCCUGGUGGAAGCUUCUGGUUACCUAGAUACUAGAGAAGUAAAAGCGACUAGCAUUCCAAAGGAACUUGAAUCGACGUUACGAAUCUCACAGAGGGCAUUGAGAGUGCUCAAACAACAGCUGAUACGAGGAAGGAGGUGUUUG